UAACGACUCUCGGCAACGGAUAUCUCGGCUCUCGCAUCGAUGAAGAACGUAGCGAAAUGCGAUACUUGGUGUGAAUUGCANAAUCCCGUGAACCAUCGAGUCUUUGAACGCAAGUUGCGCCCGAAGCCAUUAGGCCGAGGGCACAUCUGCC
rnacentral:rRNA from 1 species